UAACGAAGAUGUUCUUGGC
rnacentral:snRNA from 1 species